UAUGAAGUAUUGAAGUUCGGAAAAAUUUCUACAUAAAGACAUAUAAGGAUUUAGAGGAUUUUAUCAUAUUUUGGAUGUUGUUGGUUACUUGAGGCUUAUGCAUUUGGUGUAAUUGCUCCAAAAGAGAAAUUUUAUAUAUAAACUUAAGGCUUUGCCUAUUUUGAAGCUUGAUUGAGAAAUUAGUGACAACCAAGAGCCCAAUGCUAUCUUGAGGCAACUCUCUCUACUUUGACAAUGCUCUUGUAUUACAUAUUAUCUUAUUCAAGAAUGCAUCGGGUACCUAAUUGUAGAAGGUGAG
rnacentral:lncRNA from 1 species